rnacentral:rRNA from 1 species
AGGAAGGUUACAGAAUAAGUGCUGGGCAAGACCGGUGCCAGCCGCCGCGGUAAUACCGGCAGCACGAGUGAUGACCGCUAUUAUUGGGCCUAAAGCGUCCGUAGCUGGCCGCGCAAGUCUAUCGGGAAAUCCGCACGCCUAACGUGCGGGCGUCCGGUGGAAACUGCACGGCUUGGGACCGGAAGAUCCGAAGGGUACGUCUGGGGUAGGAGUGAAAUCCCGUAAUCCUGGACGGACCGCCGGUGGCGAAAGCGCUUUUGGAAGACGGAUCCGACGGUGAGGGACGAAAGCUCGGGUCACGAACCGGAUUAGAUACCCGGGUAGUCCGAGCUGUAAACGAUGUCUGCUAGGUGUGUCACAAACUACGAGUUUGUGAUGUGCCGUAGGGAAGCCGUGAAGCAGACCGCCUGGGAAGUACGUCCGCAAGGAUGAAACUUAAAGGAAUUGGCGGGGGAGCACUACAACCGGAGGAGCCUGCGGUUUAAUUGGACUCAACGCCGGACAUCUCACCAGCAUCGACAAUGUGCAGUGACGGUCAGUGUGAUGAGCUUACCUGAGCCAUUGAGAGGAGGUGCAUGGCCGCCGUCAGCUCGUACCGUGAGGCGUCCUGUUAAGUCAGGCAACGAGCGAGACCCGCAUGCCUAAUUGCCAGCAGUACCCUUGAGGUAGCUGGGUACAUUAGGGAGACUGCCAGUGCCAAACUGGAGGAAGGAACGGGCAACGGUAGGUCAGUAUGCCCCGAAUGUGCUGGGCGACACGCGGGCUACAAUGGCCACGACAGUGGGAUGCAACCCCGAAAGGGGACGCUAAUCUCCGAAACGUGGUCGUAGUUCGGAUUGAGGGCUGAAACUCGCCCUCAUGAAGCUGGAUUCGGUAGUAAUCGCGCCUCAGAAGGGCGCGGUGAAUACGUCCCUGCUCCUUGCACACACCGCCCG